rnacentral:rRNA from 1 species
UACGUAGGAUGCAAGCGUUGUCCGGAUUUAUUGGGCGUAAAGAGCGCGCAGGCGGUCGUUCAAGUCGAGUGUGAAAGCCCCCGGCUCAACUGGGGAGGGUCAUUCGAUACUGAUCGACUCGAAGGCAGGAGAGGGAAGUGGAAUUCCCGGUGUAGUGGUGAAAUGCGUAGAUAUCGGGAGGAACACCAGUGGCGAAGGCGACUUCCUGGCCUGUUCUUGACGCUGAGGCGCGAAAGCUAGGGGAGCAAACGGG